GAAUCUCUCGAUGUUACAUCGUUGAGAAAUGUAGCGUAUAGAUGUGGUUAUCAGUUUGUGCUACAUGUCCAAAGUCCCUUUGAUAGGGGCCACAUUCCUGAGAGGGUGCGAGACCUGUGCGGGCAGUGGAGCAAGCUGUACGGCUAUGUCUUGGAGUCGGGUUGCUUGAAAGUGCAGCCUAAAGUUGGUGAUAAACUUCAUCUAAGGCUAAAUAUAGACACGAAUUCGAUAGCAAACAAGUACUGUGAAGGAAAGUUGCAAAGAACUUUGAAGAGAGAGUUCAAGAGAACGUGAAAUCGCUGCUGUGGAACCGGAGAGAGUUGACGUAGUCGGGUAACUAAAAUCACCAGAGUCGCUUAAAUGUGACCGAGGUGUUUCUACGUUGCCUAUGACUGCGCUGACAGCACUGGUUGUGCGCGUUCCAAACCGUAAUUUCCGUUGCCCAACGUUUUACUACGGUGGUGUCUUGUUUACGGAUAGGUUUGUCGCGGCUAGUGUUUUAUCCUGCUUAAAGCGCAGGGUGUCAGUGUGAAAGUCGACCACCUCUCCGACCCGUCUUGAAACACGGACCGAGGAGUGUAAUUUGUACGCGAGUCAAAGGGUGGAAAACCCCACGGCGAAAUGAAAGUAAAGGUCGGUUAACUGGCUGACAUGGGAUCCGCGUUUCUCAAAGCGGCGCACCAUGGCCCUGUCUCGUCUGCUUGCAGAUGGGCAGCGGUAGAGCGUACAGAUUGCGACCCGAAAGAUGGUGAACUAUGCCUGAGCAGGGUGAAGUCAGUGGAAACUCUGGUGGAAGUCCGUAUCGGUUCUGACGUGCAAAUCGAUCGAUAGA
rnacentral:rRNA from 1 species